rnacentral:rRNA from 1 species
CCUACGGGAGGCAGCAGUAGGGAAUAUUGGACAAUGGGUGCGAGCCUGAUCCAGCCAUGCCGCGUGCAGGAAGAAGGCCUUCUGGGUUGUAAACUGCUUUUGCCGGGGGAUAAAAGACCCAUGCGUGGGGAAUUGAAGGUACCCGGUGAAUAAGCCACGGCUAACUACGUGCCAGCAGCCGCGGUAAUACGUAGGUGGCGAGCGUUGUCCGGAUUUAUUGGGUUUAAAGGGUGCGUAGGCGGCCCCGUAAGUCAGUGGUGAAAUACGGCAGCUCAACUGUCGAGGUGCCAUUGAUACUGCGGGGCUUGAGUACAGUCGAGGUAGGCGGAAUUGACGGUGUAGCGGUGAAAUGCUUAGAUAUCGUCAAGAACACCGAUAGCGAAGGCAGCUUGCUAGGCUGUAACUGACGCUGAGGCACGAAAGUGCGGGGAUCAAACAGGAUUAGAUACCCUGGUAGUCCGCACAGUAAACGAUGGUCACUCGGUGUUGGCGGUACACGGCCAGCGCCUUAGCGAAAGCGUUAAGUGACCACCUGGGGAGUACGCCCGCAAGGGUGAAACUCAAAGGAAUUGACGG